GUAUUAGUUGCCUUUGUUGCAGUAUAAAGGACUGUGGCAAGGGAUUAGGUUUUUCUGCUCAGCAAAGGAGUGGACUUAGUUUCUCUGCCGUUCCCCAUGUCUGUAGAUUAAGAAUGUUAAGAUACUCAAAAUAAUUUGGCGGCAUCCAGCGCACAGUUUGACAGCGCUCAGAGUGGCACAGCGCUGCCCCACGGAACAGUUUCCUGAUGGCCUUUGAACAUUGCAGCUCAUGAGCCGGCUGUACGCUGACAACAUUUUUAUGGGAACACGCAGGCAAACAAACACAGAUGGCUGCAGUUGCCUUCCCCCUCCCUUUCCUCGGUGGGUAAUCGGGGCUUGUGUUAACUCCUGCAAUUAUUGGGGAUAAUGCUGCGUUAUCAGGUCAGGCAAGUUUUUGUCAUGUAGGUUCUCCUGGUAGGCAGUACGUGGUGAUGGAUGGGCUUUGUGUUACUUCACAUUACGUGGGACUGGCAGCGGUCCAGCCACCGCCUGGCUGCUGUGCCAGGUACUCGGGCACACCCAGGCUAUCAGGCGGUGCCUGCCUGGGCCGGUCUUCUGUGAGAACAGCUGGGACCUGUGCCAUACCCAAUGUGUUCCCAGGGAACGGUGGAUAAAAGCGGCUGGAAAAGUUCAGCUGCACUUUAAGGGCACGGUGCUACUUCUGGCACUUACUGGGAAAGAAAAUAAAAAAUGAAUUGAAUGCCACGAGGAAGCUUGGAGACCGAAGUGGUGAGCAUGAAAAGCAGCGGUCGCAGCACAGCGGUUGGCUUUCAGCUGAGGCAGGGGAGGAAUGUGGGACUGUUCCCACAACAUCUCACAGCCUUGGGAAUCUCUUCCGUUCCAGCUCCGCGUGCUCGGCGCUGCCUAUGAGGGCACAGUCGGAUGUUUCCUUGAGAAACAGCUGCGGUGGUUUAGCAAGUUACUGCUUGAUCAGCUAUUUGGUGCUGCUCCGCUCUGCCGGCUGCAGUAACUGAAGCCGUGGGCUCUCCCUGGCUGUUGCAGUGUGGAGGAAAGCGGGCUUGCUUCAGCUAUGAGCAGAAAGGCUGGUCAGAACGUGGGACUGGAAAAGCACACCCCCCCCAUGUUGUGCUUGGUAGGCUCCUCUCGACAUUAUGCACUGACGUGAAAGGAUAUGGCUUUCCUGCUGACUUCAGCAAGAGCAGGUGGUGCCAGGCUUAUUCCCUGUGGAAGCCAUCUCAAGACCAGCUAUUGCACUAUGAAUCCCUUCUGCCUUGGAGGAUAACCUGCCCUGGUCUUAGCAUCCGUCAUCCUGCAGCCACCAGGAGAGGGGUAACUCCUGACACUGCUCAUACUUUCAUGCUGGACUGUCCCCUUUUUUUUAUUAUACUAAAGGACAGGAAAGGAAUGUGCCAUGGUUUCAUUACUUUUGAGGAGGAAAAACAGCAACAAAGAAAAGAAAAUAGCACUCCAGUGCAAAUAUCCAGAUUUGCAACAUCCCUUGAUUUUUGUCAACAAUUAACAGAAGUGUGAUACUGGAGGCUUUUAUUAAUUGAAUAAAGCCUAGUUUUAUUUUUCUUUUCAAAAUCAUUAUCAUAUAUAUGUAUUUUUCCUUCUUUGUGUUGAAAUUGGUGAGGGUCAUCAGUACUGGCAACAGGCCUGAUGUUGUCAAGUGCUGCACUCCCCUUAACAUCAAUAGAGCCUGAAGAGUAACAAACUUGAUGCAAGAGGAGGCCUCAGAGGAGAUUGCCCUGAAGCAAAUAAAAAUUACAUCCUCUAUCGUUGUCUGUACUUAUUAUUUCCAAGUAUUCAGAUAAUUUUAAGAUGUAUAUAUGAAAGGAAAAGAUACAAACUCAGCUUCACUCUGUCUUUGACGCAUAAUGGAUAUCCCAAAAUAAGGUAUAUUGCCACUUAGGCCUUCUUUUAUGUAACUAGUGAAAUAAAUGAAUAUCUUCAUGGGAGAAUUAAAACUGUGAAAGGUAUGAAAGCCCCCGAGAAGGGGACUGUUGCCUCUGUGACUUGAGUGUCUAUAAACCUAAUGUAGGUCUCUUAUCCAAGUGUUCAUGGUUAGGAGGGGUGAGUCUAGUCCGUAUUCACUGAGAUGAUAAUGAAACUUAGGACAGGACGAUUUGUAAAUGAUAAUAUCCUUUAAUUUCUGUUUAAGGAAGGUGUGCACUCGAAUGGUUCCAGUAACUGUGUUUGCUAGAGCUGUUAGCACCUGAAGUCAAAAAACAAUGUAGCCAACAAAAAAGGAAUGAUUUUUGGGAGGGAAUCCUAGAGAAUGGGAUUUUAGUGGGGACAAGAAGAGGCAGUGUGGGAAAGAAGAAUAAGAGUAAGGUCUUGGAAGAAGGGACAGGAAAGUUAAGCUGAAUAUACCUAACUGACAUAUUAGUAAAUGCUAAUGGCCACAGCACCUCUUCAUUUAGGACCUCAAAGAAAAGUUGUUUUAGGGAAAGAAAAUAACUUCUCUUGUACGUGGAUGAUGGUCCCCUCCUAAACUAUGCUUUUGAGUCAAAGGAGAGAAACCACUGCUUUUAAGGAAAUGCUCAGCAGUUCAGCUGAGCUAUUUAGUGUCUGUUUAGGAGUGAGAUGACUCCUCCCUUGCCUGUUUCUUUCUGUUGAUGAAAAUAAAGUUGAGCGCUGUUAACUGAGAAUGUGAAUCUACGGUUUAUCAGAUGCUAUCAAGCAAUCUGUAAACAUGCAUUCACCUCCCAAUAGCUAACUAAACUGCCAAACAAGUAUUUUCUCAACAGAUUUUCUGCAUAAUGUGAGUAGGGCUUUUAGGGGAUAGAGGAGACUUGCAAGGCCGAUAUAUUUAAGAAAAGAUUAAAUGAGAUAUUUUUGGUAAAUUGCAUUUCCUUGUUAGUCAUCACAUCUCUUUUCAUUCUGAGAAACUGCCCUCUUCAGAUGUGUUCAUUUUGUUUGGCAGAAGUGCUGAUAACUCCAGAUGUUGCUGAUUCUUUUUCAGUUCAUUGCCUUAGGAAACUGUAGUUGCACCUGAGAGAAAAUAGAAGCCAACCUGGAAGAAAAAGAAAAGACAUAUAUAAAGCUUUGCUAGAGGGAAAGGAAAAUCUGGUUAAUUUAUACGCUUUGGAUGAUCUCUAAUUGUUUCCUUAAGAUGAAUUAAAAGUCUUUUUAUUCACAAAGAGCUGAGUUCAGGACCAUAUACAUUUCAUAUUAGAGUUGAAAAUAUCAACAAUUAAGAGUUGCAUUUUCUAUCUCCUCACAAGGAUUUACUACUGCAAUGGAAAACAGAUUACCAAAUGUAGCAAUUGGCAAGUAAGCAGAAGUGAUAAUAUGCGUUGAUAUUGAGAGCAGUAUCUUCAGCUGAUAUAAGUAGGUGUCAUCCUCAGACUUCAGCAGAGCUGUACCUUUUCCCCCCAUCUGAAGAUCUGGCACCUAGAUUCUUAGCUAUGGACUAUUGUAAUUUCAAACCUGGAAACAUAAUCACUUUCAAACUUCUGAAACUUGAUGGAGAAAGGUUAUUCUUGCUGUUGUAAUCUACUAGGAUAAAGCCUGAGAAAACACUGAGCAUUGAGUUUUUUCUUGCAUCAGGAGACCUUUUUUUGCUUACAUUCUCUGCUGUGUCAACAGAGGGUGACAAGGUUAAUGACAUACAGAAACUUUUCUCUCUAGAGUAGCAGUUCAUCUCUAGUUCAUGCUGCUAGCUACUGAAAGCCAUUUCACCUAACAAAAAAAAAAAAAAAAAAGAUCUCAUCCAAUUCCUGGCAGGUAAGCAUUCACAAGUCUACAACUGAUGCAAUGGAGCUUUCUCUGUCACUGAGCAGAGUGAGUGGGCAUGGCAUCCGAGUGACAUGCCUAAACACUCCACUGUGACACUUCUGGAAAGCUGGGCAGAAAUUCCUGUCCAGGGCUGGAAUACAUUGAGAUUUACAGGCUAUUACCUUCCAUGAGAAUAGCAUUCAGUCCAAGAAACCUUGCGCCUGCCGAUGAAAGUACUUCCAAGUAAAUAAAUGAAGGAACGCUUUUCUUUGGAAACCACUCCGGUAUCACUUCUGACAGAUAACAGCGACUGUGAUGAAGAGUAAACACCUCAGUCACAGGGUGAUGCGAAGCACGCUGAUGCACACACUGGAAGCAAAACCGCAGACCCGCAGCUGACGGCUGAAUCACUGCUGUAUCUAAUUAGACACAUCAGCUCAGAUAUGCAAGCUUCCAACCGUCUGAGAAGGGCUGAGAUCACUAAUACCAAUCUGUUCUUGUCCUCCCUGCUCAGAAGAGGUGCGGUGUUAAGAUUAAAGAAACAGCAUUUUGUGUCUGUGGGGUCAGCUAUGUCUGGGUGCUUGCUGUGGGGAAGGUGGGGCAGGAAGCUAAGCUCAGUGCUGUUACAUCACAUUGUCUGAUUUGGCCCUCUGGAUAAUGUCAAGGUAAAUAAAUAAAUUGCUCCUAUUUACAAUGUUGGUGAAAAACAGCAGCCCCUUGGUUUCAUAAUUCAGUGUCAUUUGAAUUGUAUAUGUUAUUGAAUCAGACAAAAUAUGUAUUUAUGCAUUAGAUUUCUUCAAAAUUCCUAGCGUGUUUUUUAACAAAAUGCAGGAAAAAUAAACCGAAAUGCUGAUCUUUUUAUUCCUAGGUUGUUUGUGACAGAGAUUCAGCAAUGCCCUGUGCUGAACGCUAUUCACAUAAUGCACAGACAGUGGAUACUGAGUUUGAAAGGGGUCUAAUCAACAGUCUUAGGAAUAAAGAGGAAUAUUAACUCAAAAAUGUUGAUGCAUGAAGGAACAUAAUUUUCUCUGUGCACAGGUACUGUUCAGGAGACAUUCAUACUAUAGCAACCACAGUGAACUAGUCCAGUGCCACUCUAAAACAAAUUAAGUUGUAGAAUUCCACCUUAUGUUUAUGUGUAUAUCUAAAUAUAUGUACAGAAAUUAUUUAUAUAGUUGCUACUUUGCUCAAUUUUUUCCUCUUCCUUUGUACUCAGUUCAUCUCUGGAAUCAGUCUGUUGAAGUUACCAGUGAGGUAUCAAGGAGUUAUUCUGCUCUUUUUCCUAGAGUUUUGGGAUGAAACCUUCUGUAAUAUCUGACAAGACCACACGCUGCUGCAAGGACUGCUGCUCUCAACCAGACAGGGGACUCAGAGUGUGGAGGAAAGUCUGCAGCUCCGGCCCAGGGAUAAUAUGCCUUGUAAAAGAUGUGAAGAGCAGUGGAAGGAGAGGAAUAGUGCAGGGACUCAGAGGACUGAGGCACCUCCUGUUACCGUGAAGAGGAUUCUGUAGAUCUAAUCCAGACAGUGCUGGGUAGGGCAUGCAUCCUCUGCAGAGUCCUCUUACGAAUGAGGGUGCAGCUUCAUGUUAUGGAUCCUUCAACAGGGAUCCUAACCCUGUCUGCCACUUGCUCCCGCCCUGUGCAGGGGGCUGCUGCCUCUGCUCCCAUGCCUGGUGUGUCCAGGAGAUGUUAAAGUGAGCUGUCUAAGAAAAAAAUAGAUAAAAUUCAGCAAGAAGUGCAUAGAAAAAUAGAUGAGUAAUAGGAAAAUGGUGUUUCUUCAGGACCAAGUCAUUUUAUAGCUCUGUCUUAGCUAAGCUGGUGCAAAUGAAAGGAAUAAUCAACUCUUCUUGGGGACAGGAGAUGGCAGGGAUGAGGGUGGAUUGUGAGGGCAGGGGAGAAAACUCAACCAGUGCUGCUACCAAAGGAUUAGAAACAUUAUUACCCACCCUUAAUUAAUAGGAAUGGGAUUCAUCUAACUUGCCUAAAAACCAGGUGUGCAUACGGGCACCGGGCACAUCUGUAGAGUGAGUAUCCUAUGCCAUGUGGUAAAUCAGCUCCUGGCUGCUGAGUUGCUUUUUCUAUCCUUUGUGAGGGAGUCCAGAUGUCCAGCUGACCCAAAUGCCUAACUCUUAGCUAAAGUGAGCUCAGAUGAAUGCUACUCUUACUCUUCAAUUAGAUUAUUGUCUGAGUUUACAAAUAUAUCCAUUAACUAGUUUGAUUUGAACAGAUUCUGUAAGCACCUAAAAUUGGACCUAUGUUAAUGAUGGAAAAAACUAGUCUCUGUAGAUUACAUUGCUAAAGAAAUAUGAUCGUCCUCCAUUUUGUGUCAUUCUUUGCCAAAUGUAGUUUCUUGCCAACAGUGAAAAGUCAUGUUCUGCUGGAGGAAAUUCCUUGAAGACUUGCCAUCUCUCAACAUCACUUCUCUCUUCUAUUGUUUCUAGAAGGAAUAAAACUCCAAAGUGCUUUAAGCAAAAAUGACCACUGCUUCUCUUUGUCAUCUGAACAUAGCUUAAACUCUUCUCUAAGGACAGCUUGCUUUCAUUCUCCAGAAAGGGAUGAAACAAACCCAUGAAAUUAAAAUGCUGGGACACCUUAUCCAAAGAGUCAUUUUAUCUAAUCUGGUACCAAAAUUACUGCAGUGGUUUUAUCAUUGUUUUAUGUUUACUGGAUGUAAUAACCAUAGGCAAUGAAUGUGCUAUCUACUAUAUGGUAUACAGCAAACACAAUUAGAGUUAAGGUUAUCUAGGUACAGAUUUGAAUAUCAUUUGAAACUAUUUCUUAGGUUUAGCAUACUUGGUUUGGAGAUAAUUGAACUACCAUGUAAAAGACAAUGUAAGAGAUAAAUAUGUACUUAGUCACAAGGCUAUCUUGCUACAGCUUUUGUUUGGUGAUCAUUACAGCACUGUAAUGCUGUAAGUCAGCAUUAUGGUAUGCAAUAAGUUGCUAUUACCUGGCCAUUGAUCAGAUGAACUGUUGUCUGCUUCUCCAAGCCACCUGAAGCUGGCUGUGCUUUCCCCAUGAAAUCAGUGCAUACGUGCCUGACUGACCAGAAGAGCUGUGUUUGAUUUAUUAUUAUUACAAUAAAGUUGUUCGUUCC
ensembl:lncRNA